ACCCCCUGGCAAUGGGCAAAGAGACACCUUGUUGUUGGUGUUGUUCUUAUAUCAGUCAUAGGCAGAGCAGAUGGCAGUCCUUUGUUCAUCCUAGCUUGAUACCUGGCUUGGUGGCCAAAGCUCUCUUAUGCCUAGGACUCAUCA
rfam:Mus musculus chromosome X, GRC primary reference assembly.